CCAAUAGCGUAUAUUAAAGUUGUUGCAGUUAAAAAGCUCGUAGUUGAAUUUCGGGGUCAGUAGGUCGGUCGUGCCUAUGGUAUGAACUGGGCUUACUGAUUCCUCCUUCUUGACGAACUGCAAUGCCAUUCAUGUGGUGUUGUAGGGAAUCAGGAAUGUUACUUUGAAAAAAUUAGAGUGUUUAAAGCAGGCUUUAGCUUGAAUACAUUAGCAUGGAAUAAUGAAAUAGGACGUUUGAUCCUAUUUUGUUGGUUUUUAGGAUCGACGUAAUGAUUAAUAGGGAUAGUUGGGGGCAUUAGUAUUCAAUUGUCAGAGGUGAAAUUCUUGGAUUUAUUGAAGACUAACUACUGAGAAAGCAUUUGCCAAGGAUGUUUUCAUUAAUCAAGAACGAAAGUUAGGGGAUCGAAGACGAUCAGAUACCGUCGUAGUCUUAACCAUAAACUAUGCCGACUAGGGAUCGGAUGAUGUUAAUUUUUUAAUGACUCAUUCGGCGCCCUACG
rnacentral:rRNA from 1 species